rnacentral:rRNA from 1 species
UGGGGAAUCUUGCGCAAUGGGCGAAAGCCUGACGCAGCGACGCCGCGUGAGUGAUGAAGGCCUUCGGGUUGUAAAGCUCUGUGGAGAGGGAAGAAUAAGUGUUGGCUAACAUCCAGCAUGAUGACGGUACCUCUUUAGCAAGCACCGGCUAACUCUGUGCCAGCAGCCGCGGUAAGACAGAGGGUGCAAACGUUGUUCGGAAUUACUGGGCGUAAAGCGCGUGUAGGCGGCUUGGCAAGUCGGGUGUGAAAGCCCCGGGCUCAACCUGGGAAGUGCACUCGAAACUGCUUGGCUUGAGUACUGGAGAGGGAAGCGGAAUUCUCGGUGUAGAGGUGAAAUUCGUAGAUAUCAGGAGGAACACCUGUGGUGUAGACGGCUCUCUGGACAGUAACUGACGCUGAGACACGAAAGCGUGGGUAGCAAA